rnacentral:tRNA from 1 species
AAUUAGGAAAUAAAAAUUUGUAUUUAGUUUCGACCUAAAGUUUGGCAGCUAGCCCCUAAUUA